UACGUAGGGGGCGAGCGUUGUCCGGAAUUACUGGGCGUAAAGGGCGCGUAGGCGGCCCGCUAAGUCCGUUGUGAAAGACCGAGGCUCAACCUCGGAGUGUCAACGGAGACUGGUAGGCUGGAGGGUCGGAGAGGAGCGGGGAAUCCCUGGUGUAGCGGUGGAAUGCGUAGAGAUCAGGGGGAACACCGAUGGCGAAGGCACCGCUCUGGCCGAAUCCUGACGCUGAGGCGCGAAAGCUGGGGGAGCGAACGGG
rnacentral:rRNA from 1 species